rnacentral:lncRNA from 1 species
UCGUUUGUCUAAAUUGUUUUUUGUGUUUUUUUCCUGUGUUAAAUUAAUGUAAAAUGUCUAAAUCGAUUCACAAAAAGUUAGAAAUGCAACGCACCAUUUCAAUAAUAACUUUCACGAACGAGUAACUUAAAUUAUUACCGUUGCGGGAGAUAUAUGUUUGUCCGGAUAGAGACAUGUCAUGUUACAUUUUCAUGUUACCUGCAAAAGUAUGGGAAAUAUGAUAGACCCACAUUAACAUUAUUAUUAUUUAUUUAUUUUAAAAUAAAACCUAUCUUUGGAUGCUUUGGUCUAACGUUUAGCUAUAGAUUAUAAACACAAUUAUGACGAGCCAUAAUUGUUUAAAUGUUUAAAUCCGAUAACGCGAAGGCGAAGAUGUGUUAUCAUUACGUUUACAUUGUGUAGACUAAUCAUUCUUGUCGUUGGAAUGAUUCUCUUUGCUUUUAUGAUUUUUACUGAAUUUAAUAUAAAAAAAAAAUACGCCCCUAAAAAGUAUGCAUCGUGAACUUACCACAUUUUCCUCCAAAAAAUAUGGCUACUUUCGUGCUAUAUAGUCUUUGCC